AGUUAAUAAACUUUUAGAAGUAUAUAUUUUGAAAAUAUAAGAAGAUAGCUAAUCCUAUCAUUAACUU
rnacentral:tRNA from 1 species